UACGUAGGGUGCGAGCGUUGUCCGGAAUUAUUGGGCGUAAAGAGCUCGUAGGCGGUGUGUCACGUCGGCCGUGAAAACCUGCAGCUUAACUGUGGGCGUGCGGUCGAUACGGGCAUCACUGGAGUUCGGCAGGGGAGACUGGAAUUCCUGGUGUAGCGGUGAAAUGCGCAGAUAUCAGGAGGAACACCGGUGGCGAAGGCGGGUCUCUGGGCCGACACUGACGCUGAGGCGCGAAAGCCAGGGGAGCGAACGGG
rnacentral:rRNA from 1 species